rnacentral:rRNA from 1 species
AUUGAACGCUGGCGGCAGGCCUAACACAUGCAAGUCGAGCGGAUGAAGGGAGCUUGCUCCUGGAUUCAGCGGCGGACGGGUGAGUAAUGCCUAGGAAUCUGCCUGGUAGUGGGGGAUAACGUCCGGAAACGGGCGCUAAUACCGCAUACGUCCUGAGGGAGAAAGUGGGGGAUCUUCGGACCUCACGCUAUCAGAUGAGCCUAGGUCGGAUUAGCUAGUUGGUGGGGUAAAGGCCUACCAAGGCGACGAUCCGUAACUGGUCUGAGAGGAUGAUCAGUCACACUGGAACUGAGACACGGUCCAGACUCCUACGGGAGGCAGCAGUGGGGAAUAUUGGACAAUGGGCGAAAGCCUGAUCCAGCCAAGCCGCGUGUGUGGAGAAGGUCUUCGGAUUGUAAAGCACUUUAAGUUGGGAGGAAGGGCAGUAAGUUAAUACCUUGCUGUUUUGGCGUUACCAACAGAAUAAGCACCGGCUAACUUCGUG